rnacentral:rRNA from 1 species
UACGGGGGGGGCAAGCGUUGUUCGGAAUUACUGGGCGUAAAGGGCCAGUAGGCGGCCAACUAAGUCCGACGUGAAAUCCCUCGGCUUAACCGGGGAACUGCGUCUGAUACUGGAUGGCUUGAGUUUGGGAGAGGGACGCGGAAUUCCAGGUGUAGCGGUGAAAUGCGUAGAUAUCUGGAGGAACACCGGUGGCGAAGGCGGCGUCCUGGACCAACACUGACACUGAUGAGCGAAAGCCAGGGGAGCAAACGGG